AGGAAUAUUGGUCAAUGGACGAGAGUCUGAACCAGCCAAGUAGCGUGAAGGAUGACUGCCCUAUGGGUUGUAAACUUCUUUUAUAUGGGAAUAAAAUGAGUUACGUGUAGCUUUUUGUAUGUACCAUAUGAAUAAGGAUCGGCUAACUCCGUGCCAGCAGCCGCGGUAAUACGGAGGAUCCGAGCGUUAUCCGGAUUUAUUGGGUUUAAAGGGUGCGUAGGCGGGAUGCCAAGUCAGCGGUCAAAUACGGGGGCUCAACCUGCGUCCGCCGUUGAAACUGGCGUUCUUGAGUGGGCGAGAAGUACGCGGAAUGCGUGGUGUAGCGGUGAAAUGCAUAGAUAUCACGCAGAACCCCGAUUGCGAAGGCAGCGUACCGGCGCCCUACUGACGCUGAAGCACGAAAGCGUGGGUAUCGAACAG
rnacentral:rRNA from 1 species